rnacentral:rRNA from 1 species
UGAGGAAUAUUGGACAAUGGGUGGAAGCCUGAUCCAGCCAUCCCGCGUGAAGGAAUAAGGGCCUAUGGCUUGUAAACUUCUUUUGUACAGGGAUAAACCUACCCUCGUGAGGGUAGCUGAAGGUACUGUACGAAUAAGCACCGGCUAACUCCGUGCCAGCAGCCGCGGUAAUACGGAGGGUGCAAGCGUUAUCCGGAUUUAUUGGGUUUAAAGGGUCCGUAGGCGGGCUUAUAAGUCAGCGGUGAAAUCCGACAGCUUAACUGUCGAACUGCCAUUGAUACUGUAAGUCUUGAGUGUAUUUGAAGUAGCUGGAAUAAGUAGUGUAGCGGUGAAAUGCAUAGAUAUUACUUAGAACACCAAUUGCGAAGGCAGGUUACUAAGAUACAACUGACGCUGAUGGACGAAAAGCGUGGGUAGCGAACAGGAUUAGAUACCCUGGUAGUCCACGCCGUAAAACGAUGCUUACUCGUUUUGGAGCGCAAGUUUCAGAGACCAAGCGAAAAGUGAUAAGUAAGCCACCUGGGGAGUACGUUCGCAAGAAUGAAACUUAAAGGAAUUGACGGGGGUCAUAGCUGUUUCCU